rnacentral:rRNA from 1 species
UACGUAGGUGGCUAGCGUUGUCCGGAUUUAUUGGGCGUAAAGAGCGUGUAGGCGGCCAGGUAGGUCUGCUGUGAAAACUCGAGGCUCAACCUCGAGACGUCGGCGGAAACCAUCUGGCUAGAGUCCGGAAGAGGAGAGUGGAACUCCUGGUGUAGCGGUGAAAUGCGCAGAUAUCAGGAAGAACACCCGUGGCGAAGGCGGCUCUCUGGGACGGUACUGACGCUGAGACGCGAAAGCGUGGGGAGCGAACAGG